rnacentral:rRNA from 1 species
CGAGCUGACCUCGGAUCA